rnacentral:rRNA from 1 species
GAUGAACGCUGGCGGCGUGCCUAAUACAUGCAAGUCGAGCGAACAGACGAGGAGCUUGCUCCUCUGACGUUAGCGGCGGACGGGUGAGUAACACGUGGAUAACCUACCUAUAAGACUGGGAUAACUUCGGGAAACCGGAGCUAAUACCGGAUAACAUGUUGAACCGCAUGGUUCAACAGUGAAAGACGGUCUUGCUGUCACUUAUAGAUGGAUCCGCGCCGCAUUAGCUAGUUGGUAAGGUAACGGCUUACCAAGGCAACGAUGCGUAGCCGACCUGAGAGGGUGAUCGGCCACACGGGAACUGGGACACGGUCCAGAGUCCUACGGGAGGCAGCAGUAGGGAAUCUUCCGCAAUGGGCGAAAGCCUGACGGAGCAACGCCGCGUGAGUGAAGAAGGUGUUCGGAUCGUAAAACUCUGUUAUUAGGGAAGAACAAAUGUGUAAGUAACUAUGCACGUCUUGACGGUACCUAAUCAGAAAGCCACGGCUAACUACGUG